AGUUGUAUCCUGGCUCAGGAUGAACGCUAGCGGCAGGCUUAACACAUGCAAGUCGAGGGGUAACAGAUGUAGCUUGCUAUAUGCUGACGACCGGCGCACGGGUGCGUAACGCGUAUAGAAUCUACCUUGUACAUAGGGAUAGCCCAGAGAAAUUUGGAUUAAUACCUUAUAGUAUUGUUGAAUGGCAUCAUUUGACACUUAAACAUUUAUGGGUACAAGAUGACUAUGCGUCCUAUUAGUUAGUUGGUAAGGUAACGGCUUACCAAGACAUCGAUAGGUAGGGGUCCUGAGAGGGAGAUCCCCCACACUGGUACUGAGACACGGACCAGACUCCUACGGGAGGCAGCAGUGAGGAAUAUUGGACAAUGGAGGCAACUCUGAUCCAGCCAUGCCGCGUGAAGGAAGACUGCCCUAUGGGUUGUAAACUUCUUUUAUAUAGGAAGAAACCGUGGUAUGUAUACCACCUUGACGGUACUAUAUGAAUAAGGACCGGCUAACUCCGUGCCAGCAGCCGCGGUAAUACGGAGGGUCCGAGCGUUAUCCGGAAUCAUUGGGUUUAAAGGGUCCGUAGGCGGGUUGAUAAGUCAGAGGUGAAAUCCCAUAGCUCAACUAUGGAACUGCCUUUGAUACUGUUAGCCUUGAGUCAUUUGGAAGUAGAUAGAAUGUGUAGUGUAGCGGUGAAAUGCAUAGAUAUUACACAGAGUACCGAUUGCGAAGGCAGUCUACUACGAAUGUACUGACGCUGAUGGACGAAAGCGUGGGUAGCGAACAGGAUUAGAUACCCUGGUAGUCCACGCCGUAAACGAUGGACACUAGUUGUUGGGAUUUAUCUCAGUGACUAAGCGAAAGUGAUAAGUGUCCC
rnacentral:rRNA from 1 species